UGGGGAAUAUUGGACAAUGGGGGCAACCCUGAUCCAGCAAUGCCGCGUGGGUGAAGAAGGCCUUCGGGUUGUAAAGCCCUUUUGUACGGGAAGAAAAGCUUCGGAUUAAUACUUCGAGGUCAUGACGGUACCGUAAGAAUAAGCACCGGCUAACUUCGUGCCAGCAGCCGCGGUAAUACGAAGGGUGCAAGCGUUAAUCGGAAUUACUGGGCGUAAAGCGCGCGUAGGCGGCUUUGUAAGUCAGAGGUGAAAGCCUGGAGCUCAACUCCAGAACUGCCUUUGAGACUGCAUCGCUAGAAUCAUGGAGAGGUUAGUGGAAUUCCGAGUGUAGAGGUGAAAUUCGUAGAUAUUCGGAAGAACACCAGUGGCGAAGGCGACUAACUGGACAUGUAUUGACGCUGAGGUGCGAAAGCGUGGGGAGCAAAC
rnacentral:rRNA from 1 species